AGCGUUGUUCGGAAUUACUGGGCGUAAAGGGUGUGUAGGCGGUUCUUUAAGUUUGGUGUGAAAUCUCUCGGCUCAACUGGGAGGGUGCGCCGAAUACUGAGGGACUUGAGUAUGGGAGAGGAAGGUGGAAUUCCUGGUGUAGCGGUGAAAUGCGUAGAUAUCAGGAGGAACACCAGUGGUGUAGACGGCUUUCUGGACCAUUUCUGACGCUGAGACACGAAAGCUUGGGUAGCAAACAGGAUUAGAUACCCUGGUAGUCCACGCCCUAAACGAUGCAUAUUUGGUGUGGG
rnacentral:rRNA from 1 species